AAAAAUGGGGCUCUCGAGGAUGGUGGAAGAGGUGGUUUCCAUUUCUCCAAACCAGCUAAACUCAUCUCUACUAAUAAGUGAGUCAUCUCCAAGAUCAGUGAACUUUUCCUCAGGUUCAGGUUCAGGUUUGGGUUCUGGGUUUUCAGGUUGGGUGGGUGUGGAGAUUUCGGGCUUGACUGUGUUGAGUUUGGUGGAGGCGUUAC
rnacentral:misc_RNA from 1 species